UUUCUUUUGGCUUUAGUUUCUUCUUUUGUGUGUUUUAUUGGUUGCUUUGGUGCAGAUGGUGGGGCAAGGCUCUAUGCUACGAGCUGGUGCGGACUUGCUGGUGUUUGUGAUGAUGCCUUCCUUUGGGCUGGUGGUGGAGAGCCAUUUCCUUUUCGGGGCUUCCGUAUAAACAAUACGCGGGCUAACCACUUUGUACCAUACUACAACGUUGGCUUUCAUGUAGAUGUUUUCAGCUACUAUGCUUUGUUCUAAUUUUGCAGUUUAGUUUCUUCUCCUAAAGUAUUGUAACUUUUGAUCAUGAUAGGAUUUGGUGCAACAUUGAUCAAAAUGCUAUCUAUACCAUAUGGGUGUGUGAUUAUGUGAGAUACAUGGAGUGAUAAUGAUGGCCUAGUUCAUAUCUGAUGAUAGGUCCCAUCUGGGAAUAUUUUGGGGGAGUCAGAAAAUG
rnacentral:lncRNA from 1 species